UGUGUGUGCAUGGGGGGAGGGUCUACAAGAGGGAGUGAGGAGAGAGAGAGAGAGAGAGAGAGAGAGAGGGGGGUUAUAUGGUUGUGUGUACUACUUCAGGGCAAGAAAAAAGAGGGAGAAAAACAGAAGUAGCCGCCAUAUGCCGUGUACUUUUUUGUGAAUGUCUUGUUGAAGUGGAUUACUCAGAGGAGGAAAAGACACCUAGAUGGGAAGCUCUCAUUUGCUGAACAAAGGCUUGCCUUUAGGCAUUCGACCCCCCAUUAUGAACGGGCCCAUGCACCCACGUCCCUUGGUGGCUCUGCUGGAUGGGCGUGACUGCACAGUGGAGAUGCCCAUCCUGAAGGAUGUGGCCACGGUGGCAUUCUGUGAUGCACAGUCCACCCAGGAGAUUCAUGAGAAGGUGCUGAAUGAAGCAGUGGGGGCACUCAUGUAUCAUACCAUCACACUAACUCGGGAGGACCUGGAGAAGUUCAAAGCACUCCGAAUAAUUGUUCGGAUUGGCAGUGGGUUCGACAACAUUGACAUAAAGUCCGCAGGAGACUUAGGCAUUGCUGUGUGUAACAUGCCAGCAGCAUCAGUGGAAGAAACAGCAGACUCGACCCUGUGCCACAUUCUGAACUUGUACAGACGGACCACCUGGCUUCACCAGGCUCUGCGGGAGGGCACACGUGUGCAGAGCGUGGAGCAGAUCAGAGAGGUGGCAUCGGGUGCUGCCAGAAUUCGAGGAGAAACUCUGGGCAUCAUUGGACUGGGACGUGUGGGCCAGGCAGUGGCAUUGAGAGCCAAAGCCUUUGGGUUCAGUGUGAUCUUCUACGAUCCAUACUUGUCGGAUGGCAUGGAGCGAGCACUGGGGCUGCAGCGUGUCACCACCCUGCAGGACCUCCUCUUCCACAGUGACUGUGUCACCCUGCACUGCAGCCUGAAUGAGCACAACCACCACCUCAUCAAUGACUUCACCAUCAAACAGACAUGGCUGGAUGUAAUCAGACACCCCAACAUAACAGCCGAAGAAGUUUGCAAACAAGGACUAAGGGUAUGCGGCGACCACUUUGAAGGCACCGACUACCAAGGCGACCGUCUGAAGCCUGGAGCUGUAUCCACCGUUUUCCCAUCGGUGGUCGAACUGGUCGAGAUGCGGCAAGGUGCGUUCCUGGUAAACACAGCACGAGGGGGGCUGGUGGAUGAGAAGGCUCUGGCCCAAGCUCUGAAGGAGGGGAGGAUACGAGGGGCAGCACUGGACGUUCACGAGUCAGAGCCCUUCAGUUUCAGCCAGGGUCCGCUGAAAGAUGCCCCAAACCUGAUCUGCACACCCCAUGCCGCUUGGUACAGCGAGCAGGCCUCCAUAGAGAUGAGAGAGGAGGCAGCCAGGGAGAUCCGCCGGGCCAUCACAGGACGCAUCCCAGACAGUCUGAAGAACUGUGUGAAUAAAGACUAUCUCACACAGGCCACGCACUGGGCAGGCAUGGACCCUGCAUCUAUUCACUCUGAGCUCAACGGAGCUUACAGCAGGUAUCCCCCUGGUGUGGUGAGCCUGGCCUCUGGAGGCCUCCCGCCAGCUGUGGAAGGAAUUGUGCCCAGCGCGAUGCCCAUUUCCCAUGGCCUGCCCACCAUCACCCAACCACCCCACGCCCCCUCCCCUGGCCAGACUGGCAAACCGGAGGCUGACAGAGAGCAACACCCCAGUGACCAGUUGUAGCCCCCCUACCUCUGUUCAAUCACAGAACACUCCUUUUCCUUGACCCUGCCCCCUCCCCCAAACAAGAGGCUGGAAGCAUUGGUUAACAACAGUGAAAACCAUGGAUUCACAGAACAUACAGAUCUCCAACUCAUCAAAAAGUGGCAACUAAGUCUUUGGUUCUUUUAAAACUGUUCUUGCCCAGGAGAACAGUGUAAUGGAUUUGAUAAGAAAAGAAAGAAGAGAAAUCUUUAAGUAUAAAUUGUAGUUUGUCCCUAUACAGUGGGCUAAUUUUAACUGUUUCUGUGUCCUAUGGGUUCCAUGUUAAGCAAGAGUAGUUAAUUAUAUCAUGAAUGUAACCUGUCUGUGUACAGUUUUUAGAACAUAUAAAGGGUUUGUUUGUUUAACGCUGAAAAAAAACAAGCAAAAUCAACAUUCAUCUUACUAAUUUCAGAGUCAAAAAAAUAAUCUUUUAUUUGUUUUUAUAUGUUCCCACAGGCCCCAGAUGUGGCAGUUUUGCAAACGUUCUCAGGAAAUUCAAUUUUGUUUCCUCUUCUUUUUCACUCUAUACCACAUAGUGCAUUGUUUUUGUAACUGCUUGUCUUUUUUUUUUUUUUUAGAGAGAAAUUUAGUAAAGAAUAACAAAAAACAUUUAAUUUUCCAUUUUUAUUUUAAAGGGUAUGGAUUCCCUCCAUUUCAAAUACUCAAUAAAAACUAGUUAGACAUUUUGGGAAAAACUUUAAAAAAAUGUGUCUCAAACAAACCUGGCAAUAUGCUUGUGUCACCUGUUUCAGUGUAACUCCAUUGGUGGUAAUGCGUCUGAUGGGCAGCCCCAGACAGUUGGACGAGUAGCAGAGUUUCUUUGCCUACAUUGGUUCCCUCCUGGUCAAGUGGUUGAUGAUAAAAUAUCUUCCUUCCUGGCUGACAUCUCUACCUGAAUGGCCAGCCACCACCUGAAGCUCAACCUCAACAAAACUGAACUGCUGUUCUUCCCAUACAAGACCUCCCUACUACAUGAGCUCUCAAUCACAGUUGAUGGAACCACAGUGACUGCCUCUCACUCUGCAAAGAGCCUGGGGGUGGUCUUGGACGACCAGCUGGACCUCCUGCAGAUCCCUUCUGUACAACAUCAGAAGGAUUCGACCAUACCUGACUACGCACUCUACCCAGCUGCUUGUCCAGACUACGGUGACCUCCCGCCUUGACUACUGCAACUCUCUCCUUGCAAGCCUGCCAGCUUGUGCCAUACAGCCACUACAGAUGAUUCAAAAUGCUGCUGCCCGACUCAUUUACAACCUUUCCAAAUUCUCCCACGUCACUCCUAUGCUGCGGUCACUCCACUGGCUACUGGUCGCUGCCAGUAUCAGCUUCAAAGUCCUGACCCUCACUUACACUGCAGCCAACAGGAUGGCCCCUAUCUACUUGCAGGACAUGAUUUGAUUCUACACAUCUGCUCAACCGCUCCGCUCUGCAGCAGCAGGGCACCUUGUACCCCCUCCCACCCGAGUAAAGGGAUCACGGAGCUUCUCCACCCUAGCUCCCGAGUGGUGGAACGAACUCCCUGUCCCUCUUCGAACCUCUUCCUCACUACCCAUCUUCCGCCGUGGUCUGAAGACGCAUCUCUUCAGACUAUACCUGGACUAACUGCUACCACUCUGUAUAUCAUUUCACUUUAAAUCCCCCCUUUCAGCACUUUUGGUAAUUUGUAUUUGUCCUAAUAUUGUAGCUUGUUCUUCUCCCUAGUUUAGCUUAGCAUAAGUUAGGUCAGAAUAGUGUUCACUGUGUGAACUGAACUGUGUUCUUGGCUAGAAAUAGCUGUACGAAAUGAGUAUCGUACCUUAUUGAACCUGUGUUUUGUAGUUGUCCAUGACCAUGAAAUGCACUUUUGUACGUCGCUUUGGAUAAAAGCGUCUGCUAAAUAAUGUAAUAUCAUGUAUUUCAGCAUUGACCAUAAGGUUAAUUAUUGUCAGAUAUUGACACGUAAAACAUUAGAAUGGAUUCUUUUCGAUUAUCUUUUAAAAAUAUGUGAUUUUAGAAAAUUUGUUUUUGUGGUGUAGAUUAUGUGUUCAAAACAUUAUCCCAAAUUCUGAGAGGUUUUGGGACAUGUUGGAAAAAGCCUUGUAAAAUUUCACUGCUUUUAAUUAUCUACACAAUUUCUUUUGCAGUGGUCGGAAAGAGGUUGGGGGUGAAUUUUGCAUAACAAUUUUGAUGCUAGCUCAUGUGAAUUUUGUGAAAUAAACAGUACAGUUGCAUUUUUAUGUA